GGAUUAGAUACCCUGGUAGUCCACGCUGUAAACGGUGGGUACUAGGUGUGGGGUCCAUUCCACGGGUUCCGUGCCGUAGCUAACGCUUUAAGUACCCCGCCUGGGGAGUACGGCCGCAAGGCUAAAACUCAAAGGAAUUGACGGGGCCCCGCACAAGCGGCGGAGCAUGCGGAUUAAUUCGAUGCAACGCGUAGAACCUUACCUGGGUUUGACAUGGAUCGGGAGUGCUCAGAGAUGGGUGUGCCUCUUUUGGGGUCGGUUCACAGGUGGUGCAUGGCUGUCGUCAGCUCGUGUCGUGAGAUGUUGGGUUAAGUCCCGCAACGAGCGCAACCCUUGUUCACUGUUGCCAGCACGUUAUGGUGGGGACUCAGUGGAGACCGCCGGGGUCAACUCGGAGGAAGGUGGGGAUGACGUCAAGUCAUCAUGCCCCUUAUGUCCAGGGCUUCACGCAUGCUACAAUGGCUGGUACAGAGAGUGGCGAGCCUGUGAGGGUGAGCGAAUCUCGGAAAGCCGGUCUCAGUUCGGAUUGGGGUCUGCAACUCGACCUCAUGAAGUCGGAGUCGCUAGUAAUCGCAGAUCAGCAACGCUGCGGUGAAUACGUUCCCGGGGCUUGUACACACCGCCCGUCAAGUCAUGAAAGUUGGUAACACCCGAAGCCGGUGGCCUAACCGUUGUGGGGGAGCCGUCGAAGGUGGGACUGGUGAUUAGGACUAAGUCGUAACAAG
rnacentral:rRNA from 1 species